rnacentral:rRNA from 1 species
GACGAACGCUGGCGGCGUGCUUAACACAUGCAAGUCGAACGCUGAAGCUCAGCUUGCUGGGUGGAUGAGUGGCGAACGGGUGAGUAACACGUGAGUAACCUGCCCUCUUCUUUGGGAUAACGCCCGGAAACGGGUGCUAAUACUGGAUAUUCACUGAUUCUCGCAUGGGGGUUGGUGGAAAGGUUUUUUCUGGUGGGGGAUGGGCUCGCGGCCUAUCAGCUUGUUGGUGGGGUGAUGGCCUACCAAGGCUUUGACGGGUAGCCGGCCUGAGAGGGUGACCGGUCACAUUGGGACUGAGAUACGGCCCAGACUCCUACGGGAGGCAGCAGUGGGGAAUAGUGCACAAUGGGCGAAAGCCUGAUGCAGCGACGCCGCGUGAGGGAUGGAGGCCUCCGGGUUGUAAACCUCUUUCGCUCAUGGUCAAGCCGCAGCUUUGGGUUGUGGUGAGGGUAGUGGGUAAAGAAGCGCCGGCUAACUACGUG